rnacentral:rRNA from 1 species
GUGGGGGACAACGUCUCGAAAGGGACGCUAAUACCGCAUACGUCCUACGGGAGAAAGCAGGGGACCUUCGGGCCUUGCGCUAUCAGAUGAGCCUAGGUCGGAUUAGCUAGUUGGUGAGGUAAUGGCUCACCAAGGCGACGAUCCGUAACUGGUCUGAGAGGAUGAUCAGUCACACUGGAACUGAGACACGGUCCAGACUCCUACGGGAGGCAGCAGUGGGGAAUAUUGGACAAUGGGCGAAAGCCUGAUCCAGCCAUGCCGCGUGUGUGAAGAAGGUCUUCGGAUUGUAAAGCACUUUAAGUUGGGAGGAAGGGUUGUAGAUUAAUACUCUGCAAUUUUGACGUUACCGACAGAAUAAGCACCGGCUAACUCUGUGCCAGCAGCCGCGGUAAUACAGAGGGUGCAAGCGUUAAUCGGAAUUACUGGGCGUAAAGCGCGCGUAGGUGGUUUGUUAAGUUGGAUGUGAAAGCCCCGGGCUCAACCUGGGAACUGCAUUCAAAACUGACGAGCUAGAGUAUGGUAGAGGGUGGUGGAAUUUCCUGUGUAGCGGUGAAAUGCGUAGAUAUAGGAAGGAACACCAGUGGCGAAGGCGACCACCUGGACUGAUACUGACACUGAGGUGCGAAAGCGUGGAGAGCACAACAGGAUUAGAUACCCCUGGUAGUCCACGCCGUAAACGAUGUCAACUAGCCGUUGGGAGCCUUGAGCUCUUAGUGGCGCAGCUAACGCAUUAAGUUGACCGCCUGGGGAGUACGGCCGCAAGGUUAAAACUCAAAUGAAUUGACGGGGGCCCGCACAAGCGGUGGAGCAUGUGGUUUAAUUCGAAGCAACGCGAAGAACCUUACCAGGCCUUGACAUCCAAUGAACUUUCCAGAGAUGGAUUGGUGCCUUCGGGAACAUUGAGACAGGUGCUGCAUGGCUGUCGUCAGCUCGUGUCGUGAGAUGUUGGGUUAAGUCCCGUAACGAGCGCAACCCUUGUCCUUAGUUACCAGCACGUAAUGGUGGGCACUCUAAGGAGACUGCCGGUGACAAACCGGAGGAAGGUGGGGAUGACGUCAAGUCAUCAUGGCCCUUACGGCCUGGGCUACACACGUGCUACAAUGGUCGGUACAGAGGGUUGCCAAGCCGCGAGGUGGAGCUAAUCCCAUAAAACCGAUCGUAGUCCGGAUCGCAGUCUGCAACUCGACUGCGUGAAGUCGGAAUCGCUAGUA